AUUGAACGCUGGCGGCGUGCCUAACACAUGCAAGUCGAGCGGUAACAGGUGUAGCAAUACAUGCUGACGAGCGGCGGACGGGUGAGUAACGCUUGGGAAUCUGCCUAUUAGUGGGGGACAACCCGGGGAAACUCGGGCUAAUACCGCAUACGCACUACGGUGGAAAGCCGGGGACCGCAAGGCCUGGCGCUAACAGAUGAGCCCAAGUCGGAUUAGCUAGUUGGUAGGGUAACGGCCACCAAGGCGACGAUCCGUAACUGGUCUGAGAGGACGACCAGUCACACCGGAACUGAGACACGGUCCGGACUCCUACGGGAGGCAGCAGUGGGAAUAUUGGACAAUGGGCGAAAGCCUGAUCCAGCGACGCCGCGUGGGUGAAGAAGGCCUGCGGGUUGU
rnacentral:rRNA from 1 species